rfam:Ovis aries breed Texel chromosome 5, whole genome shotgun sequence.
UCCCUGGUGGCUCAGAGGUUAAAGCAUCUGCCUCCAAUGCAGAAAACCCCGGUUUGAUCCCUGGGUCAGGAA